ACGGCCAUACCAUGCUGAAUAUACCGGUUCUUGUUAGAUCACCGAAGUCAAGCAUCAUCGGGCGCGGUCAGUACUUGGGUGGGUGACCACCUACACUAGGAAGCACCGCGUGCCG
rnacentral:rRNA from 1 species